rnacentral:rRNA from 1 species
GGAGGGAUCAUUACACAAAUGAAAAUAUGAAGGCCCUUCAAACCGGCUGGAUUAUUUUUCUUCACCCUUGUCUUUUGCGCACUUGUUGUUUCCUGGGCGGGUUCGCUCGCCACCAGGACCACACCAUAAACCUUUUUGUUAAUGCAAUCAGCGUCAGUAAAAAGUAAUAAUUAUUUUACAACUUUCAACAACGGAUCUCUUGGUUCUGGCAUCGAUGAAGAACGCAGCGAAAUGCGAUACGUAGUGUGAAUUGCAGAAUUCAGUGAAUCAUCGAAUCUUUGAACGCACAUUGCGCCCUUUGGUAUUCCAAAGGGCAUGCCUGUUCGAGCGUCAUUUGUACCCUCAAGCUUUGCUUGGUGUUGGGCGUUGUUUGUCUUUGGCCUUGCCCAAAGACUCGCCUUAAAACAAUUGGCAGCCGGCCUACUGGUUUCGCAGCGCAGCACAUUUUUGCGCUUGCAAUCAGCAAAAGAGGUUGGCCAUCCAUCAAGACUACAUUUAUACGUUUGACCUCGGUACAGGU